GGCAUGGUGGUGUAGUGGUAACAUACCCUUUACAAGUGGAUCUUCCUGCGUAUCUGGUUUCUAAGGGAGUCCCUCGUUCGAACCGGGGCCUGGUCA